UACGGAGGGGGCGAGCGUUGUUCGGAGUCACUGGGCGUAAAGCGCACGUAGGCGGUGCGGUAAGUCAGGGGUUAAAGGCUGCAGCUCAACUGCAGUAAGGCCUUUGAUACUAUCGCGCUAGAGUACCAGAGAGGAUGGCGGAAUUCCCGGUGUAGCGGUGAAAUGCGUAGAUACCGGGAGGAAGGCCGGUGGCGAAGGCGGCCUCCUGGGCCUGCACUGACGCUGAGGCGCGAAAGCGUGGGGAGCAAACAGG
rnacentral:rRNA from 1 species